UACGUAAGGGGCAAGCGUUGUCCGGAAUCACUGGGCGUAAAGCGCACGUAGGCGGUUUGCCAAGUUGGGGGUGUAAGCUCUAGGCCUAACCUAGAAAUUGCCUCCAAAACUAGCAUACUUGAGUAUUAGAGGGGAAGCUGGAAUUCACGGUGUAGCGGUGAAAUGCGUAGAUAUCGUGGAGAACACCCGUGGCGAAGGCGGGCUUCUGGCUAAUUACUGACGCUGAGGUGCGAAAGCUAGGGGAGCGAACGGG
rnacentral:rRNA from 1 species